CCGCAUAAAAUCAAAAUCAGAUAAAAUCCAAUAAAAUCCAUAAAAUCCCAGCCGAAUACAUCCUCUUAGAGCAUCUCUAAUAAGAUUUGAUUAUAAUCGUCGGCUAAAUUGGAUCAUAAGUCAUUGUGUAAAAUUUACUACACUCGUAAGACAUUGUGCUUUUGGCUAUAUUGAUCGGUUAUAAUUUAAAAAUAGUAUAUUACUAAUAUUUUAGAUUGUUAUAAUUAGAAUAUAUUGGUCCAAUAUAAUAAUAAAUGAUGUGUAAUUUUUCUACAAAUUUUCUAGAGACUUGCAGGGCUUCGACAAAUAUAAUCAUACAUACAAGAUUGACUAAAACUAUAGAUAAGAGGUGAGAAUAGUUUGUAUGUGAUACUAUUUUAAAGACAUUAACUAUAUUUUUUAUUGUUAGUAUAACAACUCACUAUUUUAGUUAAAGUUUUAUAAUGAUUGGAGUUGCUAUCAGAUAAGUUUGUUAAUUUUAGACGCGUAAUUUAAAAAGUAUUGACCAUUUUUUUCAUAUUUUAAUUUUCUUAAAAAUAUUCUUUUAUAAACAAAAUUUUCAUAUCUAACUUUUUUUAUAAAUAUAAAAUUUUAAAAAUAAAUCAUAUAUUUACGCGGGUCAAUAAAACUUAAAUCACGUGUUCAAGUGAUCCAUUUUAUCUACUUUGAAAUUAACCAUUUUAUCUUUGAAAUGGAGAGAGCAUUUAUCGUCGCACUGGUUGUGAGCUCUCGUGCUUCUCGCCAAAAGAUUUGGUAGGAAGUUACCCGCUGGUUGACUCAAAGAACAUUAUCCGUAGAAUUUAGAGAGGUUUAUACCCGUAAACUACGAAGCAAAUAUCAUGCGUGCAGAAUUUCCAUAUCGUAGAAUUUUACGAUAUGAAAUUAAUUCUAUUAAAUUGUACAUAACAUUAGGAUAUUAUUUGUGAAAAAUUAUAAGUACAGAAUUAUCAAAAAUAUAAGUCAAAAGUAUAAUGUUAUUGUCGGAAAAAGUUAAAUCAAAAGUGUAUCAUCUGGCGUCCCAGGUCCAGGCCGACUCACCUCGAGAAUUUUGCAGAUACUCAUUUGUAAGAUUAUAAGUCAUAUUUGUCAAAAGAAAGUGUAUCAUAAAAUAUUUUUAAACUAUAAUUAUUAAAUUAUAUUUUAAAAAGUGUUAUAAUAUGCGUAGAUAAUCUUUUUCAGACAUACUUGAACAAUCUCGAAGGAUAUUAAGGCCUUGUUUCCCCAAUUUUGUAGGUAUGUUAUAUGUACAUUCAAAGCAGAUUUAGACGUUGGAGACUCAUUUGCCAUUUUUCCUUUUGACGUUUUUCGCUUUAGUUUACGCGUAGUUGUUUUGUUCCUUACAUAUAGACGUCCAAUUAGUCUUGGAAACGAAGGUCUUAUUGUCGGGUUUUCUUAACAGAAGCGGAAUAUAUUAAAUCGAAACCGAAUCAUACAUCAAUGUCUCUGACAUAACGGAGGACAUCAAAAAACAUUUAAGCAAUCCAUCAUACAAAAUCACCCUAACUAAUAAAUAGGCAAUCUUAUUAAUCUUAUUGGUUUUAUCCAUAUGAAUACAGGAGGAGUUUGUUCCGAUCAAAAUUUAACACAUAUCAAAAAAAAUUAUAUCCAAUUUUGUACACGAGCCGUUUUCCAUUUUUGAGUGAAAGAAACAGAUAUAUCUGGACGAGAACAUAGCAGUAAACGGCAAUCUUGCAACACAACUCCCACCUCCAAGUAGUACUCUAUGCCCUUUGUCAAUGCAUUAGCAGUAAGCAGAGAGUCACUUUGCAGAAGAGUGAAAGAAUAUAUGUAUAAAAGGUUGUAAGUAUCAACAUUUGGCGCUAGAAGGAGGGGGCUCCACUAUUUUCCAACAAAAGAGAUCUUCGAUUCAACCACAGAAUGGCCGGAGGAGAGGAACGAAGGCGGAGCGCACGCUCCACCGUUAAAUCGAAGCUGACCAGAGCAAUCAGCUCUCCAGAAAUAGAUCUACGUAGCAGUCUACCCCCCAAAAAGUUGCUAUUCGGUGACACUUCCCCCGAAGGAUCAGUAGCCGCUCCGGCGCAAUCUGACCCUACGGGAAGGGGGCGGAAACGCGGUCCCAAGCAAACAGUGCUCACCCCACAGGGGAAACACGUCCUGACCAGCGAUGCACGUCUCCAUCUCGAGAGAAUUAAAGCACUAAAGCAACACGAUGAGCGAGUGAAAGCAAACGAGGCUAUAAACCUCGAAGACGAGCUCCAAGCCCUAGAUACUAAGAGGCGUAUGCUCGCUGCCAAGGUGAGACAACAGAGGGAAAUAGCUCGCCUCGAAGCAGAGUUAGGCCACGCUUCACAGGAGUACCAAACCAGAGAUGAUGAGGAGGUUUCCUGGAGGCCCUCGGCCAACAGCGAGUAUUCUACCAGGGCCGACUCGGCGGGCUCAUACAGCUCUCGUCGCCAUAAGAAAAAGUCGACUCGUCACAAUGAAGAAGAGGAGGAGGAAAGUGGAUCUAAGGCUAAAUCUAGUUCAGAAAUCACGGAAAUCAAAAGCGAGCUAGCAAGGCUGAGAAACCAAAUUAAAACAGGCUCUGGAGGCGUGGAGGCCUCAUCUGAAAGCCCCUUAUCCGAAGAAAUUGAGAAUUAUCAGCUCAACAAACACCAGAAGAUUCCAUCGAUUGGCCAGUUUGACGGGUCCACAGCCCCAUCCGACUUCAUCAGCCAAUUUGAUGGCAGAAUGAGCUACUACGGCCACUCAGAGAUAUCGCGUUGUCGCUUCUUCUGCACUUGUCUCAGCGGUACUGCUCUUGAAUGGUUCGAAAACCUGCCCCCACGGUCUAUUGACUCGUGGAGCACCUUGAAAAACAAAUUUCGAACCAGAUUCUCGAGCAACAAGAGAGGGGGAAAAAUCACAGCAUCCCUAAUGACUGUGCGCCAAAGGUCUUCGGAGUCUCUCAGAGACUUCCUAGCCAGGUUCAGGGACGAGGUCGCCGUAAUUCCUAACCUAAUCGACGAGCUAGCAAUUAACUACCUGGCAGCAGGGGUGGACAAGAACCGCCAUGGCAGAAUUUUAGAAGAAUUCUUCGAGAAAAACCCUAGAACACUCCAGGCUGCCAUGGAAAUUUUCGAACACAGACUCACCAUCCAAGAGGCUGUAGGCAGUAUUCAAAUGGCUUCGCCUCCAACAAAAAAGUGGGAUAAAGGUUCAGGUUCAAACAGCAAGUGGGAGCCAAGGAGGCUAGAAGGCCGCCUUUCUCAAGGGGCCGAAAAGCCAGGCCUCGGACAAAACGCCCCCACGCCUCCACAGCUCCUUGAUGCCCCGCCACCUCAUCGGCCCCGGGGCUCGUGGCCUCCACGCCCCCCUAGGGAAGAAAAGGACUUCACUAAAUUAAACACCGAAAUAACAUCUAUCCUGGCGAUAAUGAAGACAGAUCCAAACUACCGCCCUCCAAGGCCGAUGAACCCUAACAGGCCCCCAAGCUCAAAAUACUGUGAUUACCACGAGGAUACAGGCCACACAACGGAAAGGUGUUACCAGCUCCGCAAUCUAGUCGAAAACAAAAUCCAGAGUGGAGAACUAGCACACUUUGCAUUACGAGAAGAACUCGCUCAGCCAAAUUCAGGGGGCACAGACAGGAUCAUUGACGUCAUAUCAGGGGGUUUCGCCGCCGGCGGAACAUCAAACAAUGCAAAGAAGCUAUACGCCAGAGAAGUAUACAGGGUUGACUCUAAGCGCCCUAAACAAAAUCCUUCGCCAGUAAUUUCAUUCUCCGACGCGGACUAUCCAGAGGGAAUAAUAAGGACGCAUCAAGACGCAAUGGUCAUAACAACAAAAAUCGGCACAAACACAGUCAAGAAAAUACUGAUAGACGACGGCAGUUCAGUGGACAUUCUCUAUCAUGGAGCAUUUUCUAGAAUGGACCUCGGGGACAGAAAACUCGAUGACGCCAGAAAUGCACCAUUGUACGGUUUUACGGGCAACGAGGUCCGGGUCCUGGGAACGAUUGAUCUUCCAGUACUGUUCGGCUCGCCCCCCGCCCAGCUAUGGCACGUGGUCAAGUUCCACGUAAUAAACGCCACCAAUACUUACAAUGCAAUAUUGGGGAGGACGACGACAACAGCACUCAGGGCAAUAACAUCAAUCCCACAUCUGAAAAUGAAAUUCCCCACGGAGUUUGGAGUGGGGGAAGUUCGAGGCGAUCAGCAAAUGUCAAGGCAGUGCUACAUCGGCAAUGUCAUUCCUAAAAGAAAGCCUCCACGCUCCAUCACAUCCACGAUCAAUCAAGUGGGUGACACACCUCGGAAGCUCGAGGCCUAUGAGGCCGAGGACCCCGAACCUAGUUAUCAACCCGUGGAGGACAAACCCCCCAAUUGUCAACCCGUGGAGGCCCUGGAACAAAUCGCCCUGGACCCCACAAAUCCAGAGAAAACCGUGGGAAUUGGUGCCAACCUACCUUCCCAAAUACGGGACCCUUUAACCUCACUACUCCAAGAGUUCGCGGAUAUAUUCGCCUGGACCCCGAGCGAAAUGCCAGGGAUCCCUGAAACAAUCGCACUUCACAGGUUGAACAUCAAGCCUGGUUCUAAAUGCGUUAAACAGAAGAUCAGGACCUUCUCACAGGAGAAGAGAGAGGCCAUUGAGGCUGAGGUAGACCGCCUCCUGGCCGCAGGCUUUAUCAAAGAGGUCCAGUUCCCAAAAUGGAUAGCAAAUACAGUCUUGGUCAAAAAGAGCAACGGCAAGUGGAGAAUGUGCAUCGACUAUUCCGACCUCAACAAGGCUUGCCCCAAGGACUUCUACCCGCUACCAAACAUAGACCAGUUAAUUGACGCAACAGCAGGUCAUGAACUAAUCUCUUUCAUGGACGCCUUUUCGGGCUAUAACCAAAUCAAGAUGGCUAAGGAAGAUCAGGAGGACACGGCAUUCAUCACCCACAAAGGGGUAUUUGCCUACACAGUAGUGCCUUUCGGCCUCUUAAACGCGGGAGCCACAUUCCAAAGAACCAUGGACACCAUAUUCGCCCCGCAAAUAGGAAGGAACAUGGAAAUCUAUGUAGACGACAUGAUCGUCAAGUCAACAAAAUCAAGUCAACAUGUCGCCGAUCUGCGCGAGACAUUCUCCCGAAUCAGGGAUCAUCAGGUGCGCCUCAACCCGGCGAAAUGUUCAUUUGGUUUAACCGGGGGUAAGUUUCUAGGCCACCUACUCACCCAGCGGGGCAUUGAGGCCGACCCAUCCCAAAUCAAGGCCAUUACGGAGAUGGAGCCCCCAAAGUCUCUAAAGGACCUACAAAUACUCACAGGGUGCAUAGCGGCUUUAAGACGCUUCAUCCCUCAGUCAUCAAAGAGAAGCCUCCCUCUCUACGAGGCCAUCAAAGGUGCUGCCAAGGCCCACAAAUUUGAGUGGACAAAAGAGUGUGACCGAAGCUUCGCAGAGAUAAAGGAGUUCUUGUCCAACCCGCCAGUAUUGGCAAAGGCAAUGCCCGGGGAACCGUUAAAGCUCUACCUCUCGGCAUCAGACUCCACCACGGCAGCAGUAUUGGUUAAAGAGGUGAAAGGCUCACAGGCACCCGUUUACUAUGCGAGCCACUUGCUAAAAGACACUGAAACACGAUAUAGCAAGAUUGAGAAGUUAAUCCUAGCUCUGGUAAUGGCCAGCAGAAAAUUAAGGCACUACUUCCAAGGGAGGGAGAUCACAAUAUUGACAAACCAGCCCCUGCGCCGGGUCUUACAUCGCCCCGACAUAUCAGGAAGGCUAGCUGCUUGGACUAUAGAGCUAAGUCAGUUCGGCUUGGAAUUCCUACCCCGAGCAGCCGUUAAGUCUCAAGUACUCUCAGACUUCAUCGCCGAAUGUAACUUCUCGGAGUCACCUACCACCAAAGGGCAGUCCUUCUCAGACAAGGCGUGGACAUUGUUUACAGAUGGCUCCUCCACCGAAGAGGCUGGGGGGGCAGGGAUACUCUUGGUCAGUCCCGAAGGUUUCAAGGUACAACAAGCAGUCCGCUUCAAAUUCUCAGCCACGAACAACGAGGCAGAGUACGAGGCAUUAGUCGCUGGCCUAAACCUAGCAAAACACCUCGAAGUCAAGAACAUUGACAUAUUUUGCGACUCGCAACUCGUGGUAAAGCAAAUCUCAGGUGACUUCAAAACCUCGAAUGAAAGAAUGGCCUCAUACAGAAAGGUGGUUUUGAACCUUCUACAGGCCCUGACAUCUUGGUCCAUUAAAAACAUAGCUCGAUCGGCCAACCACUGGGCCGACGCGCUCUCUCGGCUGGCUACCUCAUCAGCUGCACAGUCCCAAGAGCCAAUCUACGUCAAAGAGCUCGUCCAGCCAUCAAUCACCAGAGACGAGGUCAAUUGUGUAACCAUCGUAUCAGACUGGAGGACUCCUAUCAUCGACUUCAUCAACGGAACUUUGGACACUGCAGACAGAAAUGAAAGGCGUAAAAUCGAAUUCAAGGCUCGCAAUUUUUGCAUGAUAAACGGCAAGCUCUACAGAAGGGCCCUAACUGAACCCUUACUCAAAUGCAUCGGACCAGAAGAGACUCAAAUCGCCAUGACAGAAAUACAUUCCGGCAUUUGUGGAGAGCACGCCUCAGCAAAGAGCAUGGCAACCAAGAUGCUUAAGCAUGGGGUAUUCUGGCCAACCCUUCGCGCAGAUUGCGAAAACUUCACUAAAAAAUGUAAACCAUGCCAACUGUAUGGGGCAAUGAACCACAGACCUGCAACUAGCUUCUCCGCCUCACAGCCUCCAUGCCCUUUCUUCAUGUGGGGCAUGGACCUGGUUGGCCCACUACCCAAAUGUUCAGGACAGAAACAAUUCUUGAUCGUAGCAAUUGAUUACUUCACCAAAUGGGUCGAGGCCAAGCCCCUAGCCAGAAUCAGGGAGACAGAAGUUGUUCAUUUCUUCAUGGAAUACAUAGUAUUCCGCUUUGGAGUUCCACGUAUCAUAGUAACAGACAACGGCUCCCAAUUCACAGGCAGGGACUUCGAAGAAGCCCUAAACCAACUAAAAAUCAGCCACAUCAAAUCCUCAGUCGCAUAUCCACAGGCCAACGGCCAAGUAGAAAUCACAAACAAAGCAAUAUUGCAAGGAAUCAAGAAAAGGCUCCAGGAGGCAAUAUCCAAUUGGGUGGACGAGCUCCCCAAUGUAUUAUGGGGCCAUCGAACAACACCAAGGUCAACCACAGGCUUCUCCCCUUUCAGAAUGGCAUAUGGAACCGAAGCUGUGUUACCAGUGGAAAUCAGCAUGGGAUCCCCUAGGGUGGAGGACUUCUCCCCUGAAAAAUCUGAGGAAGGGUUAAAACUCCACAACGACCUCAUCGAGGAAUCCAGAGGCGACGCCCAGCUCAGGGUAGCCCAAUACCAAAAGAGGGUGGCCCAGUAUUACAACUCGAAAAUCAAGAUAAGAAGCUUUGAGGAAGGAGACUUGGUUCUCCGAGAAGCUGCAGCCUCCAUGCCCUCCAAGCAAAACAAGCUAUCAGCCCCUUGGGAAGGUCCAUACAUAGUGGCAAAGAUAAUCAGGCCAGGGACGUAUAGGCUCGCCAACCUCAACGGUUCUCCACUCCCCAACACCUGGAACGCAAUCCAUCUAAAAAAGUUCUAUCAGUAAAGUAAAAAGCCCCUUCCACAAAUCAAGGCCUAUACGCCAUCCAUCGAAUCAAGGCUCGAACGCCAUUUAUCAAGGCUCAAACGCCAUCUAUCUAGGACUAGCAAAUUAAAGUCCCUUUUGGGCCAAGAACACCGUACGAUAAUGUAUUUUCCAUCAUUAGCAUAUAUUCCUGAGUUCUAAAUUCUGGUUAACGGAUUAUGUUAUGAAUAUCUUUUUGAAGUUAGUAAAAUUGCGCUCCUUAAAGAAAAUUCUCGCCUUAAAACGUUACAGUUUUACUUUUACACUCUAACAUUAUUUCCCAUGAUUAUUCCCCUCUGUCAUAAAUUACUCAAAUGCAGGAAACCUCUCCCAACAACAGAUAGGCGGUCACAUACGGCAACAGCGAAGGGAAAAGAAGGAAGCGAACAAAGCAAAAACAAAUCAAAUACAAGAACAAAGUAAAGCAUUAAGCAGACGCAAAAAGAACAAAUUCAGAUAAAGUUCAAACGCAGAAAAAGCAAGUUAGGAGUUACAUCACCAAUCUGGGGCAUCCCCCAGCCAACAAAAGGUUUGUCCAAAAGCAACACAAGCGUAGCAGAUAAAAGAUGUCUUAAUACAUAUUUCCUCUGGGGCAUUCCCCAGCAAAUCGUAAGAGUAAUAAGAAACAAAUCAAGUCGCAGACCCUGCGCGGCCAGCCGAGUCACCACCAUCGUCACAGUUACGAGCCUCUUCCUCACAAUGAAGCCCGAAGGUAUGCGCUUCCAUGUUAUAUCCAGCCUUCACGGCACGGUUCCAGCACAGGUUAUAGCCAGCCUCCAGAGCCCCAAACGCCUCCUCAUGGCUCUUAGACAAGGCCUGGCGAGCCUCCACCAGCUCUUUCUCCAAAAGGAUCUUGUUCCUCCCAAACUCAGCUAUCACAGAACAAUACUCAGCAGCCAUCCGCCUUUUGUCAGCAGCAAACUCAACCUCAAUAUUUUGAUAAGAUGCCACAAGGGCAUUCAAAGCUUCCUUGUCAGAACCCAAGGCCUCCACACGCUUCUCCAAAUCAGCUACGGUCCCCAAAGCCUCACGGUUCUUUCGUCCAAGUAAGGCGAUACGCUUCUCCGCGUCCACUUUAUGACGUUGAGCAUCCACCAAGUCAGCACGGAGACGCUUCAACUCAGUCUCCAAAUUUCCACGAACCCCCAAGGCCACCAGCCGAUCGAACUCGACAGUAAACUGGGAUAUGGACAAAAAACAAAAACAGCGGUUCACUAACACAGCGACAAAAGCACAAAGUAAAACUGGAAAAGCAAAGUAAGGAAGGUGCCAAACCUGAUCCAACAAUUCCUUGGCAGAAACAGCAGCCUUUGCGGCAGAAAAGGUCUCGUCAGCCAAAGGCCCCUCAGGCUCCUUGCUCGAAGAUCCAGGCCUCCCAGCCUCAUUAGCUCGAAGCUUUAUUAGCCCACGGCCUUUCUUCUCCAAAGGCGGCCCCGCCUCCUCCUCUACACGACGAGCUCUCUUCCUGCUAGACGUCCGGGCAGCAACAGACUCCACGAGAGUCCCACUAACCUCCCCCAACAGCUCCAAAGAACCACUAGCCUCCACAUCCACAACCCGCGGCUUAGAGGACUCCUCAAAAUCCUUGUCACCAGAAAACUCAAUCCCUUUUUCAGCCAAAGAAGAAACACCCCUUUUCGCCAUCAUGGACUUCAGAGCCGAACUCAGCAUCUUGCGAGGGGAUCUUAGCAGCGCCCGCAAAGGCUCUCCAGCCACUGUCAAAAUACCAACAACAAAGUUCAAGAGCAAAGAAAAAGAGUCACAAAGGAAAGCAACACAAAAGCAAUAUCUUACAACAAUGAGAAACUAAAAAUUCAUUUUUUGUGAAAUCCUCGGUAGAGAAUGUCACAUCCUCCCCAGAAAACAAAGCCAAAACACUUUCAGGCAAACCAGGCAUGUGGUUUAAUUCAUAAAGCCAGUCCUUGGAUACACCAUUCCAUGGACUCACAGAGCCCAACUCUCCACCAGAAAAAUAGGCCCAUUUACCAUGCCAACCGUUAUUCGACGUCUUGACAUUAACCAGGCGAGUGCGCCCGGAUUUCUUAUCCAAAUACAACUGACCGCCCCCAUACUUAACCCGAUAAAUGGAUAAUAACAAGUCAACAGUAGGGAUCUUCUUCUUAUCAUGACUCCGGGCGAUUACGCCACAGAUCUGCACAACAGCAUUAGGGGACAACUGCGCAAUACCACAACCCAACAAUUUAAGAAGAGCCACAAACAACGGAUGCAUGGGGAGGCGGAAGCCCAACUCAAAAAACAAGAAGGGGAUGGCCUGCCAACCCUCCUGAGGCAUGUGCCACAAACAAUCACCUUCCUCAGGAAGAUGAACAGAAUAAACCCCAUCGGUGCCGCAAUACUCACCAAGUUUCGCCAUCUCGGGAGAAUCAGGACCAAUAACACUCGGCCGGUUAAAAGCAGGGUUCGACCGGAACACCCUCCUCAGUUCUUCCGGCAUAGAGGACACCGGAGCCGAAGGCUUCUCUUUCGCCGGGGUGUUUUUCGUCAAAUCUAGGAUGAAAGGAUCAACUGACUCCAAGUCUUGCAACCCAUCGUCUAGAGAUUCCAAAUCAUGGGAAGACGAGUGUGGAACAAGAGGAGACGGCAAGGGACCAAGAUCAUCAAACAGAGUUUCCCCAGCAGCCUCAGGCCCAACACGAGCAGAAAGGGAAUGGCGUUUUCUCGAUGAAGACAUGAGCAAGCAGUAAAAGAAAACAAAAAGAAAAGAGGGAAAAAAUACCUAGAAAAGAUCGCAACUGGAGAAAGGAAGAGUUUUUUUCCGAAAAAACAAGACAACUAUGGCAGGUUGAAAGCCACAAGUAAGCCAGUUCAAGACUCCGAGUCCCGAGGAACCCCAACAGCCAAUCGCCACUUCAAAAACUGCGGGAAAGAAAAAACAAUUGAAAUAAAAAUACGGACAAAAACCCAGCCCAUCUAAAGAAAGGCUCCAGCUAGGGGGGAGACUAAAUGUUGGGCCUUAGCCCAGAUAGCCUCAGCCCAGAUACGAAGAGCCCACCUAAAAGCCCACUUAGAGGCCCAGAACCAAGAGGUCUAUAAAUAGUGAAAGAAAACACUGUAAUAGAGAGGGGAAAAUAGAAGAGUGAAAGAAUAUAUGUAUAAAAGGUUGUAAGUAUCAACAACUAAUAAAUAGGCAAUCUUAUUAAUCUUAUUGGUUUUAUCCAUAUGAAUACAGGAGGAGUUUGUUCCGAUCAAAAUUUAACACAUAUCAAAAAAAAUUUAUAUCCAAUUUUGUACACGAGCCGUUUUCCAUUUUUGAGUGAAAGAAACAGAUAUAUCUGGACGAGAACAUAGCAGUAAACGGCAAUCUUGCAACACAACUCCCACCUCCAAGUAGUACUCUAUGCCCUUUGUCAAUGCAUUAGCAGUAAGCAGAGAGUCACUUUGGAGAUCUACACUGGCUCCUUGUAUUGACUGAGGCCAGCCAAGUGCUUGGAGUACUCCUCGAGUUUGAGCUUCGAACACCAUAAUCUCACCUGCACAUCUUAAAUUCUUUGCUUGUAUGAAACUGCCUUCAUGAUCCCGAAGAAUGAUGCAUUAUAUUUAGCUUAAAUCUUCCUUGAGCAGGAGCUUUCCAUUUAGACCCUCCCAUCAACUGCGUGUCCAAGCCACAUGAUCACAAACUUGACCUCUGGAAAUUGUUUGUACCCAGAUUUUACAAGCGUCAGGACAUGACGGGAAGCUGAGCUGACACGACGAGAAGAGCUGACGGGAUAAGGAUAAUUGUAGAUAAAAUUAGUGGAUAAGCUUUAGACUAAGUCUCAACAAAACUCCACCUUUUUAGGAGCAUCAUUCAAGAAUAAAGCAACGGGUAUUAGCACAAAAGAAGGGAUGUUACAUGCACGUACAGGGAAGUGGAGUGAAAAUAGGAGUUGGUGGCCAUACAUGACUCUAGCCAAAUGUAUUAUAAAAGGAGGCAAGUACUCGCAGGAAAAAAGAAGAACAACCCACCUACUGGAGUUACCUAUACACACCCAUCUACACACUAGCCUAUAAACACUAGUUGAGAAAAUAAGUAACGUAGCUUAUACUUUGUUUCAUUCAUUUGCAACUUGUAUUUAAGCUCACACGUACUACAAAAUUCUAGUGAAUUCUUUUAUUGGCUGGGUAACCAUUCCCACCCGCGGUUUUUACCUUUUUACGGGGUUUUCCGCGUCACCAAAAUUGCUUGUGUUCUCGUCUCUUAUUUUCUUUUCGAUAUUUUUCAUUCGAUCUUUUAAGUAUUCAUACAUAAAAACACAUACUCCAUUGUUAUAGAAAUUAAAUAGGCUUGGCUUUUAACCCCGCAAAUUUUGGUAAAAACAAUUGGCGCCGUCUGUGGGAAACUAGCGAAGCACUUACAUGAUUUCUAUGGCAAUGGAGUUCACGUCGACGCACAUAUUAAUCGGUUCAAAAGGGGCUACAAGAGAUAGGCGUCAUUGAUACACUGAUUUUUUAUAUCACAUCACUUUGGUUGACAUGGCGAGAAGAUUUCUGAUUACAAACAUGGGGUUGUCCGACGGGUUGGCUGAAUUAAAGAACACGUCACUCAACACACAUAAUGGAAGUUACAAUACGGAUCUUAAAUGCAUUAUGACAGCUCUUCAUAAGUAAGGAUCUCGUAAUUACACAAACAAGGGGCUGAUCCAACGAACACGUCUCUCAACAAAAACAAUGGGACUGCCCGACGAGUUGAUCAACAUGUCCAUAUAUCGCCGACGCCUUCAGCCUACAACACGUGAUAGUUUGAGAAGACGACGGCAUACAUGUGUCACAUCUGUCAAGAGGUACACAAAGACUCCGAGAGGGUACUAGUCAAGGUUAAACAUACCUGGAGUAAUCACAAAUGACCAUGACAUGUACGACGGGAACAAUUCAUAUUCGUCUGAUCACGUCUAACGGGAACCAGUAAAUCACAUGUGACGCAACACGACUAACAAGACAUGGGUGACAUCUACACGACAAAAAACAACACCACAGAGGACAUGACGUGACACCAAAGAGAGAGACCGACAUAAUUGAUUUUUUGACAGAAAGAAUGGACAGCUUCGCUUGGGAACACGACGACACGAUGGGUAGCAGCCUCGACUUGAACAUACACAAGUUAAAUGAUGACAAGUCAAGCCACAUACAUGUCAAAUGCAAACCAAACAGAAUUAAGAUAAUCAAUCGCAAAGGAGACAACUAAUUCAAAAAAGGACAUGAUACAUGAAAUCGAGUAUCAGGAAUGACUAGCAAACAUGGUGACAGUAUAAAAAUAAAACCAUGACAAUUGGACAUAAAGUCUUGACAUGAUGAUCGACGUGACAGCUAGACAUGAACUCUAGUAACAUAACAGAUCAUGUCAAAUACAUUAUCACCUAUGAGCCACAAACAACGAUUGACUCACAAAUUUUGUUAAUUUUGUGGCUAAUUUCAAUCCAAGUCUUCUAUCUCAACAGGACAUGACGACUUAUCCUAAAAUCGUCACAAGGGGACAAUAUAGCAUACCCAAAACACGAUCGACAUCACUGGUUCAACAUGAUGUGAAGUAAAAAGACAUGACAUGACCACGAAGGAUAAACAUAGACGAAAGAGUCAAAAAUGGACUAGUUGUUGCGACAAGUCCAAGAAACUUGAUUAAUGUCAACUCGACGACAUGGGACACAAAGGUCAACACUAUGACAGAAUAUGAAUCAUUGACGCCUCUAGAGGUGUCCGACGUCUCCCAUCUGAUUUAACAAUACAUUACAAAUUACAAGUCCUCAGGGGCUCGAACAUGCUACUUUUGAAACUUUAUCACAUGUAAGUGAACUCAUCCUCUUUAUUCUCUUAGUCUUUAGCAAUAUGAUAAUAAGUUGAUUACGAUCUUUACUUGGUCUUAUGCCAUUUAGAUGAUAUUUCAUGCUUCGAGUAAAUGUUUGCUUGAAUGAUUCGUGAUCUAAGCAUGAUGAUACAUGUGCUUGUUUCUUACAUGACUUGUUACUCUACUUGAUAGAUAUGUGUGUUGAAAUAUGUUAUGCAAGUUGUUCCAAAUUGUCUUCAUGUUUAACUGCUUAAAAUUGACGUCUUCAUCAUGAUAUUUAUUGUGGCAUGAUACUGCAUGAGUAUAUUUUAGAUACAUAUUUAAUAGACAAGGAGGGCUGAUCACCCAUCCUACUACAGUUAAUCAUUAUCGAAUGAUGAUGACGACAAUACUACACGUUACACAAACAACUAACGACGCCACGAAUAAUGAUGCAUUUCAACAUUAUGUAUUUAAACAUUACAUAAUCACAAUUACAAUUACGAGCUAAGUUUCAAGAGGGAAAGGCCUUUUAACUAGCCUACGAAUGCAUGCAUCGACGUUUGAAAAUAAACAAAUUUGUCAAAUACAACAACGUUUGAAAAUUAUAUAUAUUUAUCGAAUACAUAUACUACAUGCAUCAAUGUCUGAAAAUUAUAUAUUCAUCGAAUAUAUAUAUUUGUCGAAUACAUAAAUUACGUGUAUCAACACUUGAAAAAUAUAUUUGUCAACUACAAUUACGCAUAUUACAAGUUUAAAUACAUCGACGUAUUUAACAGACAUGUCGACGAAAACUCCACAAAAUCACGCAAGUCACAGCCCUUGGUCGGACACAUGAAUUACAAUGUACAUUUCUACAUGUCAUCACUUACACGAGUCAUGACAGAUUGCAUUGACUACAUGUCACACAUACUACAAGUGACAUAUAAGGUUGCAAACAACAUAUCACGUUAUAGCUAUGAUGACGAGCUGCACAUCAUGUCUACAAAUUACAUAUUACGAACGGAAGACAUGGUACAAAACACUUUACAUGUUGGUACUCCUAUUCAUUACGUCACGGUCACUCCAAAUUUAGGGGUCACAUGAAACGCAACCGACAAUCACAAGAUUAUAUACGACAUCUUGCACAUGUCGGAAGACAUCUAAAAAGGGCUUUACAAAUAUAAUGCAAAGGAACGUCACAACUUGACAUGUUAAUACUACGGGGCUGAUUGUAAUUAUGUCCAAGCCUACAGGUAACUACGAUAGAGCAAAUACAAAGCGUUCUCAUCUUAGAACGAAAAACUAACGACAACGAAACAGCUACUCAUCGAUGUUUUUAUCAUUGGAAGAUUUAGACAACAAUGACAACAUUACAAUGACACAAUGAGAUUGAGACUCGAUACAAGACAAUAACGAACAAGACAAAUCGACAUGACAUGAUCACAUGUUGCAAGCGUCAGUAUUUUAACAUAGCAUAGGUGUUCCUAUUAGCCAUGAUCUAAAGAAAACGGAGGGUUAAAGAAGUAAUUUCAUUGGUUGCAUGCCUCCACCCAAUAAAAUUAGGGGCUAUUGUUUGUACCCAGAUUUUACAAGCGUCAGGACAUGACGGGAAGCUGAGCUGACACGACGAGAAGAGCUGACGGGAUAAGGAUAAUUGUAGAUAAAAUUAGUGGAUAAGCUUUAGACUAAGUCUCAACAAAACUCCACCUUUUUAGGAGCAUCAUUCAAGAAUAAAGCAACGGGUAUUAGCACAAAAGAAGGGAUGUUACAUGCACGUACAGGGAAGUGGAGUGAAAAUAGGAGUUGGUGGCCAUACAUGACUCUAGCCAAAUGUAUUAUAAAAGGAGGCAAGUACUCGCAGGAAAAAAGAAGAACAACCCACCUACUGGAGUUACCUAUACACACCCAUCUACACACUAGCCUAUAAACACUAGUUGAGAAAAUAAGUAACGUAGCUUAUACUUUGUUUCAUUCAUUUGCAACUUGUAUUUAAGCUCACACGUACUACAAAAUUCUAGUGAAUUCUUUUAUUGGCUGGGUAACCAUUCCCACCCGCGGUUUUUACCUUUUUACGGGGUUUUCCGCGUCACCAAAAUUGCUUGUGUUCUCGUCUCUUAUUUUCUUUUCGAUAUUUUUCAUUCGAUCUUUUAAGUAUUCAUACAUAAAAACACAUACUCCAUUGUUAUAGAAAUUAAAUAGGCUUGGCUUUUAACCCUGCAAAUUUUGGUAAAAACAGAAAUCUGGAAAUAGGUGUUGCCACAAUUACUUUAGCAUCACCAUUGUGAAUAGAUUGUUCACCUCUUGAAUAUCCCAUUUCUUUUCACCAGGGGUGAAUAAAUCAAAUACUUUAACUACAGCUGAUCGGUUAGUAUUUGUACUAUCCACUUUAAAAUCAGCUUUCCCUCUUAGCCAUGCAUCCUCAAAAACUCUAAUUUCCUUCCCAUCCCCAAGAACUCAUCUAAGCCCCUGUUUCAAAACCUCAAUGGCUUGCCAUAAUCCAGACCAGAUAUGGCUCCCCACGCGUUGCUUCAGAAAGAGAACUGAUUUGGAAAAAAUCUGGCCUUAUAGAUACGUGCAACUUAUAAUUCUGUCGGAUUAAAAAAUAUCCAUUUUACCUUCUUCCAUAAAUACAGGUUUUAAAUAAUUUUGUGUUAGUGGCACCAAAUCCAGGGGCGGAUGCACAGUAGCUUGAGUGGGUGGACAGGACCCCACUCAGUUUGGACUUAACACCCUCAAAGAAAAUUAAAAACUCACAAUUCAUUGCAUUUUUAAAAACCAAACUCAAAACUAAUUGUUAACAUAGAAAUAAUUUAACAAACAAAAGAUGUUUUUUCCUAAUAGAAGAAACUCACCGUAAUUAAAGCUUUAAUGACAAUGUUCUAUGCCUGACCGGUGACUCACGGUUAUAUAUUUUGUUAAGUAUUAUCAUAUGCAUUUUAUAUAAGGAACCCACUGAAAUAUAUUCCUGGAUCCGCCACUGACCAAAUCUAUAUCUCCGGAUUUGAGCGAUUACAGUGCUGCUUUUCCCGCACUUCAUAAACACUUCACACUCCACCCCUGAAUUCUUUCCCAAAUUCGAUCUCCAAGAAAUUUAAAAAUCGAUUUCAAGCAAUGUAUACUCCUGAAACGAGAAAUCAGCUAAUAACUCGUUAUUCUGCUCAUCUGAGAGAAUACAGAGUCACCAGCUUCUACCUCCAUAUCUUUCUCCCUCACCCCCUCAUCAAAAAGCUUCAAAAAAUAAUCCUUUACUAUCUGACACAUCGAUCUCCUCAUGACCGUCACCAACUCCCCAUCGUUGUGUUUCAGCUUCAUAACGUGAUCUAAUUCCUUCAUUGUUGUUGCAUAAGCGUGAAAGUGUUAAUUUUACGGAUAAUUUCAGUUUUAGCUAUUUUUGUUUUUGUUCAUUGCUUACUGUCAACAUUGUAAAAGCAAUGGUGGAGGAAGCUUUUGAGAGAGAAAACUCAAACAUUGUAUAUACAGCUAAGAAUGUUUUGUUACAAGUUGUGUCAAUCUGUACAAGCAAAAGACAUUUUAUACUAGUCACUAGCUUCUAACUUUGGGCGGGAAAAGUUGUUACAUCCACCCACUACUAGUCUAACUAAUUAAUCAUUACUUAAUAACUUAAUUAUUCAAGUAAUAUUCCCUACCCCCCCCCCUCAAGUUAGAGGGUGAGGAACUCACACCUAACUUGCCAAGUAUAGCAUGAUGCUGUAGACCAGUGAGGGGUUUGGUAAAGACAUCUGCGAGCUGGAGCUUGGAAGGAACAUAGCUCAGAGAAAUUAAGCCAGAACUGAGCUUUUCCCGAACAAAAUGGCAGUCAAUGUCUAUAUGCUUCGUUCUCUCGUGAUAUACAGGAUUUUUAGCAAUAUAAAUUGCUACCUGAUCAUCACAUUUAACAGGUAUAGGAAGUAUGUCUGAAACAGUGAGUUCAGAUAACAAUCUGGAAAGCCAAGCUAAUUCUGCAGUGAUACGCCUGAGAGAUCUGUACUCAGCUUCAGCUGAGGACAAGGAAACUGUGUGCUUUCUUUGAUUUCCAGGAGACAAUACUGUUACCAACCAUGAUCACAAAGCCACUUACAGAUUUCCUGGUGUGGGAGCAAGCUGCCCAGUCAGCAUCACAAUAACCUUGAAUAGAGUAGGAAGGUGAAUUGCUAAAAAAUAAUCCUUGUGCAGGAUUGUUUUUAAGAUAUCUCAGAACAUGUAGAGCAGCAUUCCAGUGAGGUUCUCGUGGAUCACUCAUGAACUGACUAAGGUGCUGUACUGGAAAACUAAGAUCAAAUCUGGUAUUGGUGAGAAAAUUUAGUUUACCAACUAAUUUCCUGUAUUCACCAGGGUCAUCUAAAGGAACACCUUCCCCAUGAAGAAUCUUAGCAUUAAGGUCUAAUGGGGCUAUAACAGGUGUAGAAUCUGGAGUAUCAUAUUCAACUAGCAAUUCUUGAGUGAAUUUCUUCUGUGAUAGAAUAAUGCCAUCAGGUACUGAUGUGAAUUCAAUACCAAGAAAGUAAUGUAGAGAUCCCAGAUCUUUGAUUUUGAAGGUGGAAUCAAGAAACUGUUUGACAGUAGUAAUCUCAGACAUAUCAUUUCCAACCAACAAAAUAUCAUCAACAUAGACAGCCAGAAAGACCACAGAAGUACCAUUUUUCUUAUAGAACAGAGAGUAAUCAUUCUUGGAAGUGGCAUAACCUUUUGAAAGCAGUGUAGAAUGUAGUUUAGCAUGCCAUUCCCUAGAUGCUUGUCUCAAACCAUAGAGAGAUUUUAAGAGUUUGCAGACCAAAUUGGGAUGAGAAAGAUUAAGGCCAGGUGGUGGUUUCAUAUAGAUAUCUUCAUGUAAAUCACCAUGAAGGAAAGCGUUAUUCACAUCAAGCUGAGACAUAUGCCAGCCUUUUUUAACAGCCACAGCAACUAAUGUUCUGAUUGUAGUCAUUUUAACUACUGGAGAGAAUGUUUCAGUGAAAUCUAUGCCUUGCUUUUGAGUAAACCCUUUAACAACCAAUCGUGCUUUAUAUCUCUCAAUGGAGCCAUCAGCAUGUUGCUUGACUUUGAAAACCCAUCUACAAGAUAUAGCCUUUUUCUUAGGAGGGAGAGGUACCAAAUCCCAGGUUUUGUUAGCUUCUAAUGUUGAGAAUUCAGCAGCAAUAGCUUGUCUCCAUUCAGGAAACUGGAUUGCCUCUUCAUAAGAAAUUGGAUCAGAUGGAGGAAGUUUAAUAUCAGGUAUGACAGAACAGCAAGUAGAAUCUUCUGACUGAUGGAUAGAAGGUGUGCAGAGUGAAGUGAGAGUACAGGCACAAGUAAUAUUCCCACAUUGAGAUUCUGUAUAAGGAUGAACAUAGUCAUUAAGGUAAGAAGGGAGUUUGGUAUGUCUCUCAGAUUUUCUGAGAACAGGUUCAAGAUGAGGAGAUGGUGUUUCAGCAGUGGUGGAAUCAUGUGGAUUCUAGGAAGAAUCCUGAGAAUUCUGUGAAGAAGCCUGUGGAGAAUGCAAUGAAUUUUGUGGAGAAUUCAUUGAAUUCUGGGGAGAAGGAGAAUUUUGUGUAGAAAUGGGCUGUGAUGAUGCUGAUUCAGGAACAGAUGUAGGAAUACAAUGAGGUGAAGGAAUGGACACAAGUGGAAAGAUAUUCUCAUGAAAAGAGGCAUCUCUUGAAAUUAUAAUGGCAUUUGUUUCUAAAUUGAGAAAUUUGUAGGCCUUUUUCCCAUAUGGAUAUCCCAGAAAUAUACAAGGAGAAGCCCUUGGUGAAAACUUGUUUCUGUGUACAGCUAAUGUAGAUACAAAACUUAGACAACCAAAAGGUCUAAGAUGAAGAUAAGAUGGUUUCUUAUCAAACAAAACUUCAUAAGGAGAACAACCAUGAAGAACUGUAGAGGGAAAUCUAUUAAUCAAAUAAGUUGCUGUCAAGACACAAUCACCCCAGAAUUGAAUGGGGAGAUUGGACUGAAAUAGAAGAGCCCUGGAAGUCUCUAACAAGUGUUUGUGUUUACGUUCCACAACUCCAUUUUGUUGUGGAGUGUAGACACAAGAAGUUUGGUGUAUAAAGCCUUUUUCCAGAAAAUAAGCAGAAGAAGUAGGUGAAGAACCUAAUUCUAAGGCAUUGUCACUUCUAACUGUUUGAACUACAGUAGAGAACUGAGUCUCAACCAUUGCAAUGAAGUAUUUGAGAAAGGUGAAGGCAUUACUUUUACUGCUUAAUAAGUAAGUCCAAGUUACUCUAGAAAAAUCAUCUACAAUGGUGAGAAAGUAUUUAUACUUGUUGUAUGUAGCAACAAAAUAGGGUCCCCAUAUAUCAAUGUGUAUAAGCUCAAAGCAUUUAGUAGAAUGAAUUGAACUAUGAGGAAAUGGAAGUCUGUGCUUUCUAGCUUUAGCACAAAUAGUACAGGAUUCAAGAGAUUGUUUAUCAAGAUUAUUACACAAGGAAAGUGUCUUCAAUUUAUACAAAGGCAAGUGUCCUAACCUUGAAUGCCAAACUGAAACAGAAACACUAUUACAAGCAAUAGAAGAAUUAUUAACACUGGGAAGAGAUGAUGUCUCCAAGGAAGAAGGAGCAUCAUGAUGGAAAAGGUAUAAGCCCUUCUGAAGAUUACCAAGUACCAGAGGCAUCUUCAGAGAAGAGCCCUGCAAGAAACAAUUAGAAUGAGAAAAGCUAAUUGUGCAUUGCAGUUGUGCAGCCAAUCUUGGUACAGAUAGAAGAUUAAGUUUGAAAUCAGGCACAUAAAGAACAUUGUGCAAGAUGAUGUCAUGUGUGAUAGGAACAGAACCAACAUGAGUGAUAAAGAUGUUAUGACCAGUAGGUAGUGAAACAUUAAUGGAUUUAGGCAGAAGAGUGAGAUUAGAAAAUAAAGACUUAUGAGCACACAUAUGAUCACUAGCUCCACUGUCAAUUAUCCAAGUAAUGUAAUUAGUAGUAGUGAAGCAGGCAGUAUGAAUGGAGUUACCAGCAAAGUUUGCAGCAGAAGGAGGUUGUUCUGAAGUCUGAGCAGUGUUGAGCAAAUUCAUUAGUUGAGAGUAAACUUCAGGUGACAGAGUGCCAGAUGUGCCAACAGAUCCUGAAUUGCUAUUAGUGCUGAGAGAUGAAUGUGAAGCAACAGAAGAUGGAGAAGGACUCCUGUCAGAAACUUCUGCCUGAGCUGCAAACCUUUUGCCUUUGGUGAACUUAAAAUCAGCUGAAAAACCAUGUAGUUUGUAACAUUUGUCAAUGAGAUGUCCUGGUUUCUUGCAAUAGUUGCACUGAAGAUUAGACUUCCUGGAGUCAGCACCAGGCCUUUUAGCAGAAGAAGGAUAAGAGCCUGAAGUGCCAGAGUGAACAGCCAGAGAAGCAGCUUCUGUCAUGAAAUUAGAUCCAGAAUGAAUCUCUCUCUGAGCUUCUUCUUGAAGCAAGAUGUUAUAUGUCUGACUCAGGUUAGGAAGAGGAGAUUUCAUCAAGAUUGAGCUUCUCAUAAUGGUGUAAGUGUCAUUCAAUCCCAUUAGGAACUGAAUGACUUUCUGAUCAUGAUGAUGCUUAGAGAUAUGGCUAGCUGCACCACAAGAACAAACAGGUGCCAAUCGGAGAGAUUCCAGAUCAUCCCAAAGCACCUUGAGUUUGGUAAAGUAAUCUGCAAUAGUGUCAUUGCCUUGAGAGAGUUCAUUGAUUGACUUGUGUAGACCAAACAACUGAGCACCAUUACCAACAGCAUAACGUUCCUCUAAUUCAGCCCACAUCUGAUGUGCAGUGGUGCAAUAGAUGACACUACGACCAAUAGAUUUGGAAAGAGCACCAAGAAUCCAAGAAAUAACCAUGUCAUUACACCUAGACCAGCUAGUAAAAGAAGGAGAUGAAGGAUCUGGUCGAGGUAGGGUUCCAGUGACAAAACCUAACUUAUUUCUUGCAGAUAGAGCAAUUGUCAUGGACCGUUUCCAAUUACUGUAACCAGUUCCAUCAAAGACAUCACUAACAAGCUUCAUACCAGGACUAUCAGAAUUUUGCAAGAACAGAGGAUUAUCAUGUUGAGAGUUUGUGAGAGGUUCGUAUUGGAACGAAUCGUGAAUAGUGUGUGAAUCGGAACCACUAGCCAUUGGAGAAUCAGUAGAUUCUAACGAAUAAGCAACUAAUAAGCAGAGAAAUGUAAAUGUUGGAGCAGAGAUUGCAAUUAGGGUUUACAAUCAGAGAUGUGAAAUACCGAACGAUGGAGAGAUGGAUUGAGCGAGAGAGAGAUUACCAGAAGAGAUAAUCGAAGAGAGAUUACCGUCAGAGUGACGGAGAGAAGCGGAGGAGAUGACGGAGAUCACGUUUCCAUGCUCUGAUACCAUGUCAACAUUGUAAAAGCAAUGGAGGAGGAAGCUUUUGAGAGAGAAAACUCAAACAUUGUAUAUACAGCUAAGAAUGUUUUGUUACAAGUUGUGUCAAUCUGUACAAGCAAAAGACAUUUUAUACUAGUCACUAGCUUCUAACUUUGGGCGGGAAAAGUUGUUACAUCCACCCACUACUAGUCUAACUAAUUAAUCAUUACUUAAUAACUUAAUUAUUCAAGUAAUAUUCCCUACACUUACAUUUGCUGAAUAAUGAGUAUAGAAAGAAAUUGAUAUUAUUUAAAUGCGAUGUUGGGUGUUGCAUCAAAUGAUGUAUAAAUAUUUUUGGUUCAAAGCGUAGAUCAACAUAUAUUUUACCUGCAUGAAAAUUAUUAACAAAUAAAUUUAAGUCGGGAAAAUUGUUCAAAAUUCAUUAAAAUCCGAUGAUAUUUAAAUGCUAUGGAAUUUUUUGGACUUCAUAAAAUGAUUGAGUUUGUUAGAUUGUUCAAUGUAUUUUAAGAUUUUUGAAUCCCACCGAAAUCAAUGAGAUUUUUAAGCAUUGUGUAUAUAUCCUAAAAACUCUCAUCAACUCUACAACAUUUUAUCUAUAAUCCGCAUAAAACCAAAAUUAGAUAAAAUCCAGUAAAGUCCAUAAAAUCUCAGCCGAAUACAUCCUCUUAGAGCAUCUCUAAUAAGAUUUGAUUAUAAUCGUCGGCUAAAUUGGACAGUAAGUCAUUGUGUAAAAUAAACUGAACUCGUAAGACAUUGUGCUUUUGGCUAUAUUGGUCAGUUAUAAUUUAAAAAUAGUAUAUUACUCAUAUUUUAGAUUGUUAUAAUUAGAAUAUAUCGGUCCAAUAUAAUAAUAAAUGAUGUAUAAUUUUUAUACAAAUUUUCUAGAGACUUGCAGAGGUUCGACAAAUAUAAUCAUACAUACGAGGUUGACUAAAACUAUAGAUAAGAGGUGAGAAUAGUUGGUGUGUGAUAUUUUAAAGACAGUAACUAUAUUUUUUCACAUUAGUAUAACAAUUCACUAUUUUAGUUAAAAUUUUAUAAUGAUUGGAGUUGCUAUUAGAUAAGUUUGUUAAUUUUAGACGUGUA
rnacentral:lncRNA from 1 species